GAUGAACGCUAGCUACAGGCUUGACACAUGCAAGUCGCGGGGCAGCAUGGGGGUUGCUUGCAAUCCCCGAUGGCGACCGGCGCACGGGUGAGUAACGCGUAUCCAACCUGCCCUUCACCACGGGAUAACCCGGCGAAAGUCGGACUAAUACCGUAUGUUGUCCAUUGACGGCAUCCGAUUUGGACGAAAGGUUUGGCGGUGAAGGCUGGGGAGGCGUCCGAUUAGCUGGACGGCGGGGUGACGGCCCACCGUGGCGACGAUCGGUAGGGGUUCUGAGAGGAAGGUCCCCGAGACUGGAACUGAGACACGGUCCAGACUGCUACGGGAGGCAGCAGUGAGGAAUAUUGGUCAAUGGGCGUAAGCCUGAACCAGCCAAGUAGCGUGCAGGAUGACGGCCCUAUGGGUUGUAAACUGCUUUUAUGCGGGGAUAAAGUGGCCCACGUGUGGGUUUUUGCAGGUACCGCAUGAAUAAGGACCGGCUAAUUCCGUG
rnacentral:rRNA from 1 species